rnacentral:rRNA from 1 species
GGUUCGAUCAUGGCUCAGAUUGAACGCUGGCGGGAUGUUUUUACACAUGCAAGUCGAACGGCAGCACGGACUUCGGUCUGGUGGCGAGUGGCGAACGGGUGAGUAAUGUAUCGGAACGUGCCUAGUAGCGGGGAUAACUACGCGAAAGCGUAGCUAAUACCGCACACGCCCUUCGGGGAAAGCGGGGGGACCUUCGGGCCUCGCACUAUUAGAGAUGGGCCGAUAUCGGAUUAGCUAGUUGGUGGGGUAACGGCUCACCAAGGCGACGAUCCGUAGCUGGUUUGAGAGGACGACCAGCCAUGACGGGACCGAGACACGGCCCAGACCUACGGAGGCAGCAGGGGAAUUUUGGACAACGGGGAAACCCUGAUCCAGCCAUCCCGCGUGUGCGAUGAAGGCCUUCGGGUUGUAAAGCACUUUUGGCAGGAAAGAAACGGCACGGAUAAUACCCCGUGCAACUGACGGUACUCUGCAGAAUAAGCACCGCCAAUCCGCCGUGCCAGCAGCUGCGGUAAUACGUAGGGUGCAAGCGUUAAUCGGAAUUACUGGGCGUAAAGCGUGCGCAGGCGGUUCGGAAAGAAAGAUGUGAAAUCCCAGAGCUUAAUCUGGAACUGCAUUUUUAACUACCGAGCUAGAGUGUCAGGGAGGGAGGUGGAAUUCCGCGUGUAGCAGUGAAAUGCGUAGAUAUGCGGAGGAACACCGAUGGCGAAGGCAGCUCUCUGGGAUAACACUGACGCUCAUGACGAAAGCGUGGGGAGCAACAGAAUUAGAUACCCUGGUAGUUCACGCCCUAAACGAUGUCAACUAGUUGUUGGGGCCUUCGGGCCUCCUGGUAGCGCAGCUUAACGGGUGAAGUUGACCGCCUGGGGAGUACGGUCGCGCGAUUAAACUCAAAGGAAUUGACGGGGACCCGCACAAGCGGUGGAUGAUGUGGAUUAAUUGAUGCAACGCGAAAAACCUCACUACCCUUGACAUGUCUGGAAUCCCGAAGAGAUUUGGGAGUGCUCGCAAGAGAACCGGAACACAGGUGCUGCAUGGCUGUCGCUGUGCUCGUGUCGAGAUGUUGGGUUAAGUCCUGCAACGAGCGCAACCCUUGUCAUUAGUUGCUACGAAAGGGCAAUUUGUAUCGAGACUGCCGGUGACAAACCGGAGGAAGGUGGGGAUGACGUCAAGUCCUCAUGGCCCUUAUGGGUAGGGCUUCACACGUCAUACAAUGGUCGGGACAGAGGGUCGCCAACCCGCGAGGGGGAGCCAAUCCCAGAAACCCGAUCGUAGUCCGGAUCGCAGUCUGCAACUCGACUGCGUGAAGUCGGAAUCGCUAGUAAUCAAAAAUCAGCAUGUCGCGGUGAAUACGUUCCUGGGUCUUGUACACACCGCCCGUCACACUAUGGGAGUGGGUUUUACCAGCGUAGUUAGCCUAACCGUAAGGAGGGCGAUUACCACGGUAGGAUUCAUGACUGGGGUGAAGUCGUAACAAGGUAG